rnacentral:rRNA from 1 species
UUGCAGUUAAAAAGCUCGUAGUUGGGAUUUCGGGCGAGGUUGGCCGGUCCUCCGUUUCGGUGUGUACUGGCUGGUUUCGUCUUUUUGUCGAGGACGCGCUCCUGGCCUUUAUUGGUCGGGACGCGGAGUCGGCGCAGUUACCUUGAAAAAAUUAGAGUGUUCAAAGCGGGCAUACGCUUGAAUAUAUUAGCAUGGAAUAACACGAUAGGACUUCUGUUCUAUUUUGUUGGUCUUCGGAACGGGAGUAAUGAUUAAGAGGAACAGUUGGGGGCAUUCGUAUUUCAUUGUCAGAGGUGAAAUUCUUGGAUUUAUGAAAGACGAACUUCUGCGAAAGCAUUUGCCAAGGAUGUUUUCAUUAAUCAAGAACGAAAGUUGGGGGCUCGAAGAUGAUUAGAUACCAUCCUAGUCUCAACCAUAAACGAUGCCGACUAGGGAUUGGCGGAUGUUAAUUUGAUGACUUCGCCAGCACCUUAUGAGAAAUCAAAGUUUUUGGGUUCCGGGGGGAGUAUGGUCGCAAGGCUGAAACUUAAAGGAAUUGACGGAAGGGCACCACCAGGAGUGGAGCCUGCGGCUUAAUUUGACUCAACGCGG